UACGUAGGCAGCAAGCGUUGCUCGGAAUCACUGGGCGUAAAGGGUGCGUAGGCGGGUCCUUAAGUCAGGGGUGAAAUCCUGGAGCUCAACUCCAGAACUGCCUUUGAUACUGGGAGGCUCGAGUCCGGGAGAGGUGAGUGGAACUGCGAGUGUAGAGGUGAAAUUCGUAGAUAUUCGCAAGAACACCAGUGGCGAAGGCGGCUCACUGGCCCGGUACUGACGCUGAGGUGCGAAAGCGUGGGGAGCAAACAGGG
rnacentral:rRNA from 1 species